AAUGCAUAGAUAUCACGCAGAAUUCCGAUGGCGAAGGCAGCUUACUAAGCCAUAACUGACACUGAUGCACGAAAGCGUGGGGAUCAAACAGGAUUAGAUACCCUGGUAGUCCACGCAGUAAACGAUGGUUACUAGGAGUUUGCGAUACAAUGUAAGCUGCACAGCGAAAGCGUUAAGUAAUCCACCUGGGGAGUACGCCGGCAACGGUGAAACUCAAAGGAAUUGACGGGGGCCCGCACAAGCGGAGGAACAUGUGGUUUAAUUCGAUGAUACGCGAGGAACCUUACCCGGGUUUGAACGUAUUCUGACCGAAGUGGAAACACUUUUUCUAGCAAUAGCAGUUUACGAGGUGCUGCAUGGUUGUCGUCAGCUCGUGCCGUGAGGUGUCGGCUUAAGUGCCAUAACGAGCGCAACCCUUAUCACUAGUUACUAACAGGUGAAGCUGAGGACUCUGGUGAGACUGCCAGCGUAAGCUGUGAGGAAGGUGGGGAUGACGUCAAAUCAGCACGGCCCUUACAUCCGGGGCGACACACGUGUUACAAUGGCAUGGACAAAGGGCGGCCACCUGGCGACAGGGAGCUAAUCUCCAAACCAUGUCUCAAUUCGGAUCGGAGUCUGCAACUCGACUCCGUGAAGCUGGAUUCGCUAGUAAUCGCGCAUCAGCCAUGGCGCGGUGAAUACGUUCCCGGGCCUUGUACACACCGCCCGUCAAGCCAUGGGAGCCGGGGGUACCUGAAGUCCGUAACCGAAAGGAUCGGCCUAGGGUAAAACUGGUGACUGGGGCUA
rnacentral:rRNA from 1 species